rnacentral:rRNA from 1 species
UGCCAGCCGCCGCGGUAAUACUGAAGGUGCAAGCGUUAAUCGGAAUCACUGGGCGUAAAGCGCUCGUAGGUGGCUUUGUAAGUCAGAUGUGAAAGCCCACGGCUCAACCGUGGAAUUGCAUUUGAUACUGCAUCGCUAGAGUAUAGGAGAGGGAAGUGGAAUUUCUGGUGUAGGAGUGAAAUCCGUAGAGAUCAGAAGGAACACCGGUGGCGAAGGCGACUUCCUGGACUAUUACUGACACUGAUAAGGGAAAGGGUGGUGGGCAUACAGCAUUAGAUA